rnacentral:rRNA from 1 species
GACGAACCGUGCGAACGUUAUUCGGAAUCACUGGGCUUAAAGGGUGCGUAGGCGGGUUGCCAAGUCUGUGGUGAAAUCCUCCGGCUCAACCGGAGAACUGCCUCGGAUACUGGGUGCCUCGAGGGUGGUAGGGGUAUGCGGAACUAUCGGUGGAGCGGUGAAAUGCGUUGAUAUCGAUAGGAACUCCGGUGGCGAAGGCGGCAUACUGGACCACCUCUGACGCUGAGGCGCGAAAGCCAGGGGAGCAAACGGG